rnacentral:rRNA from 1 species
GGCUCAGAACGAACGCUGGCGGCAGGCUUAACACAUGCAAGUCGAGCGCCCCGCAAGGGGAGCGGCAGACGGGUGAGUAACGCGUGGGAAUYUACCCUUUUYUACGGAAUAACGCAGGGAAACUUGUGCUAAUACCGUAUAAGCCCUUCGGGGGAAAGAUUUAUCGGGAAAGGAUGAGCCCGCGUUGGAUUAGCUAGUUGGUGGGGUAAAGGCCUACCAAGGCGACGAUCCAUAGCUGGUCUGAGAGGAUGAUCAGCCACAUUGGGACUGAGACACGGCCCAAACUCCUACGGGAGGCAGCAGUGGGGAAUAUUGGACAAUGGGCGCAAGCCUGAUCCAGCCAUGCCGCGUGAGUGAUGAAGGCCCUAGGGUUGUAAAGCUCUUUCACCG